ACAGCGAGGACGGCAAGCUGAUCUCCGAGUUCGGCGAGAUGCGCCGGACGCCGAUCCGCUUCGCCGACAUCCCGCAGGACUUCAUCCAUGCCCUGCUGUCCGCCGAGGACGACAAUUUCGC
rnacentral:sRNA from 1 species